rnacentral:lncRNA from 10 species
GUUACUCCAGGGACUUCUCUUCCCGUUUCCCCUAAAGCAUUUGACAGUUAGAUCUUGGAACUGAGUCCAGCAGCACUGAGGUCAGAGAGAUGGCUAAAGCUAAAAGCAAACUGGAUGCUGUUCAGGAGGUUCUCCUUUGUCAUUUUUAUCUCCAAAUAGAAGACCUCUGUUUUCCCAGAAGAUUAAAUAGUAGAAAAGAAGUAGCCCAAGCCCUGGACAACUUUCAGGAAGACAGUUCUGGUCUGUAGCAAUUAACACAUGGUCAUCCUCAGAAAAAGGAGAUACCCAUAACUUAAAAUGCAGGAACCAAGAGAUUUGAGCCUAGACAUUUGGAUGAAAAGCGAUUUCCACCUGGAGAAAGUCACUGCCCUUCUGUGCAGAGUACCAUUGUGUCUUGAAUCCAGCUUGGCCAUAAGGAAAUGGGGCGAGACUUUGUCAUGUAUGUCGCUGAAGUUCAGCUAUGCAAAAAUGUUCACCUAUCCUUGAUCAACCAGUCCAGGAACCAUCAAAGAAGAAAAUGAGAUUCGACUUAGAAGACCUGUUCUUUAUAAACCCCUGCACAGCCCUAAUGAUCAACACCACUUCCAGUGCUCAUAAAUUACUGCUUCAAUAAUUGUUCUGCAAUUCUGCCUAUUCUCAUUGAAUGCUUC